rnacentral:rRNA from 1 species
CGGUUGAUCCCGCCAGACCUGACUGCUAUCGGAUUGAUACUAAGCCAUGCGAGUCUUUGUAGUAAUACAAGGCAGACGGCUCAGUAACACGUAGUCAACCUACCCUAUGGACGAGAAUAAUCUCGGGAAACUGAGCAUAAUUCUUGAUAGAUCAUAAUGCCUGGAAUGGUUUAUGGUUAAAAUGAUUCGUCGCCAUAGGAUGGGACUGCGGCCUAUCAGCUUGUUGGUGAGGUAAUGGCCCACCAAGGCGAUUACAGGUACGGGCUCUGAGAGGAGAAGCCCGGAGAUGGGUACUGAGACACGGACCCAGGCCCUAUGGGGCGCAGCAGGCGAGAAAACUUUGCAAUGUGCGAAAGCACGACAAGGUUAAUCCGAGUGAUUUCUGCUAAAGAAAUCUUUUGCCAGUCGUAAAACCGCUGGUGAAUAAGGGGUGGGCAAGUUCUGGUGCCAGCAGCCGCGGUAAU